CAAUCGAAGAGUUUGAUCAUGGCUCAGAUUGAACGUUGGCGGCAGGCUUUAUACAUGCAAGUCGAACGGUAACAGCGGAAGCUUGCUUCCGGCUGACGAGUGGCGGACGGGUGAGUAACGCGUAGGAAUCUACCCUGUAGUGGGGGAUAACCCGGGGAAACUCGGGCUAAUACCGCAUAUGUCCCUUGGGACAAAGGGGGCCUCUGACUCUUCGGAGAAAAUGCUCUCGCUAUAGGAUGAGCCUGCGUCGGAUUAGCUAGUUGGUGGGGUAAUGGCCUACCAAGGCGACGAUCCGUAGCUGGUCUGAGAGGACGACCAGCCACACUGGAACU
rnacentral:rRNA from 1 species